rnacentral:rRNA from 1 species
CUUGGUCAUUUAGAGGAAGUAAAAGUCGUAACAAGGUUUCCGUAGGUGAACCUGCGGAAGGAUCAUUAUCGAAUUAUAAGCGAAGGUUGUAGCUGGCCCUCCCGGGGGCAACGUGCACGCCCGAGCUCUUAAUCCACUUACACCUGUGAACUCAAUGUGGGACGUCCUUCGGGACGAUUCUCAUGUCUUUCAUAUACUCUUAUGUAUGUCACGGAAUGUCUUGUCGUUGCUUUAACGCAAUUAUAUACAACUUUCAACAACGGAUCUCUUGGCUCUCGCAUCGAUGAAGAACGCAGCGAAAUGCGAUAAGUAAUGUGAAUUGCAGAUUUUCAGUGAAUCAUCGAAUCUUUGAACGCACCUUGCGCUCCUUGGUAUUCCGAGGAGCAUGCCUGUUUGAGUGUCAUUAAAUUCUCAACUCUGAUCGAUUUGUUUCGACUUCGGAGCUUGGAUUUGGAGCGUGCUGGCGUCGGUCGGCUCCUCUUAAAUGCAUCAGCGGAAUCUAACGUUUCGGACGUCAGUGUGAUAAUCAUGUUGCGCUGUCUGUCUGAUCCGAAAGCCCGCUCACAAUGGUCUUCGGACAACUUCAUAUCAAAUUUGACCUCAAAUCAGGUAGGACUACCCGCUGAACUUAAGCAUAUCAAUAAGCGGAGGA